GAGCACUUGUGACAUCCGUCCUGUGACGGAGUGCUGCCCUGAAAGUUCUGACACCGGUAAUGUAACCCGAUACCCAUCGUUCACAGAGGGGGAAAGCAAGGCUCAAAGCCUGCUGAUCUUCCUGGGUUCUCAGACACAAAUCGCAUGACCUCCAGGGCUAGCCAUCACCAAACAGCUCAUAGGUGGAAAUGGCCAAGAGCAGAGAAGACGGUGGUCAGUCAGCCGUCCAAUCUUUCUGUCUGUCUCACAUCCAAUCUCUAGAUACCAAGUCACCUAUGGGAGAAAGGCUGUCACUUUAUCCCAGACCAUGGCUUGAUUUAGGGAAGCUUCAGUUUGUCUGUGGACAGUCAGCAGUGGCAGGCUUUCUUGUAUUCUCACCCCUUGCCCUUCUUCCACUGGACAGCAGCUUCUCCAGCAAACUACUGACGUUUGCUCCGUCCCUAGUCACUGGCUGCAUCUCACUCCAGGACCAGUGUCUCAGAGAGGGAGCCCUGGCAGCAGCACGAUACCUGCAGGACUCU
rnacentral:lncRNA from 1 species